rnacentral:rRNA from 1 species
UAUUUCUAGGGGAGCGGUUAAAUGUGAUAAUCCUAGAAAGACUACCUGUGGCGAAGGCGCCUAACUAGAACAGCUCUGACGGUGAGGGAUGAAAGCUAGGGGAGCGAUCCGGAUUAGAUACCCGAGUAGUCCUAGCCGUAAACACUGCCAGCUAGGUGUCGCAUAUUCUACGCGAAUAUGCGGUGUCGAAAUGAAGAUGAUAAGCUGGCCGCCUGGGAAGUACGGUCGCAAGACUGAAACUUAAAGGAAU